GACGAACGCUGGCGGCGUGCUUAACACAUGCAAGUCGAACGGAAAGGCCCUGCUUUUGUGGGGUGCUCGAGUGGCGAACGGGUGAGUAACACGUGAGUAACCUGCCCUUGACUUUGGGAUAACUUCAGGAAACUGGGGCUAAUACCGGGUAGGAGCUCCUGCUGCAUGGUGGGGGUUGGAAAGUUUCGGCGGUUGGGGAUGGACUCGCGGCUUAUCAGCUUGUUGGUGGGGUAGUGGCUUACCAAGGCUUUGACGGGUAGCCGGCCUGAGAGGGUGACCGGCCACAUUGGGACUGAGAUACGGACCAGACUCCUACGGGAGGCAGCAGUGGGGAAUAUUGCAGAAUGAGCGGAAGCCUGAUGCAGCAGCGCCGCGUGCGGGAUGACGGCCUUCGGGUUGUAAACCGCUUUCGCCUGUGACGAAGCGUGAGUGACGGUAAUGGGUAAAGAAGCACCGGCUAACUACGUG
rnacentral:rRNA from 1 species